CAGGCUUAACACAUGCAAGUCGAGGGGCAGCAUGGUCUUAGCUUGCUAAGGCCGAUGGCGACCGGCGCACGGGUGAGUAACACGUAUCCAACCUGCCGUCUACUCUUGGACAGCCUUCUGAAAGGAAGAUUAAUACAAGAUGGCAUCAUGAGUCCGCAUGUUCACAUGAUUAAAGGUAUUCCGGUAGACGAUGGGGAUGCGUUCCAUUAGAUAGUAGGCGGGGUAACGGCCCACCUAGUCUUCGAUGGAUAGGGGUUCUGAGAGGAAGGUCCCCCACAUUGGAACUGAGACACGGUCCAAACUCCUACGGGAGGCAGCAGUGAGGAAUAUUGGUCAAUGGGCGAGAGCCUGAACCAGCCAAGUAGCGUGAAGGAUGACUGCCCUAUGGGUUGUAAACUUCUUUUAUAAAGGAAUAAAGUCGGGUAUGGAUACCCGUUUGCAUGUACUUUAUGAAUAAGGAUCGGCUAACUCCGUGCCAGCAGCCGCGGUAAUACGGAGGAUCCGAGCGUUAUCCGGAUUUAUUGGGUUUAAAGGGAGCGUAGAUGGAUGUUUAAGUCAGUUGUGAAAGUUUGCGGCUCAACCGUAAAAUUGCAGUUGAUACUGGAUAUCUUGAGUGCAGUUGAGGCAGGCGGAAUUCGUGGUGUAGCGGUGAAAUGCUUAGAUAUCACGAAGAACUCCGAUUGCGAAGGCAGCCUGCUAAGCUGCAACUGACAUUGAGGCUCGAAAGUGUGGGUAUCAAACAGGAUUAGAUACCCUGGUAGUCCACACGGUAAACGAUGAAUACUCGCUGUUUGCGAUAUACUGCAAGCGGCCAAGCGAAAGCGUUAAGUAUUCCACCUGGGGAGUACGCCGGCAACGGUGAAACUCAAAGGAAUUGACGGGGGCCCGCACAAGCGGAGGAACAUGUGGUUUAAUUCGAUGAUACGCGAGGAACCUUACCCGGGCUUAAAUUGCAGAUGAAUUACGGUGAAAGCCGUAAGCCGCAAGGCAUCUGUGAAGGUGCUGCAUGGUUGUCGUCAGCUCGUGCCGUGAGGUGUCGGCUUAAGUGCCAUAACGAGCGCAACCCUUGUUGUCAGUUACUAACAGGUUCCGCUGAGGACUCUGACAAGACUGCCAUCGUAAGAUGUGAGGAAGGUGGGGAUGACGUCAAAUCAGUACGGCCCUUACGUCCGGGGCUACACACGUGUUACAAUGGGGGGUACAGAGGGCCGCUACCACGCGAGUGGAUGCCAAUCCCCAAAACCUCUCUCAGUUCGGACUGGAGUCUGCAACCCGACUCCACGAAGCUGGAUUCGCUAGUAAUCGCGCAUCAGCCACGGCGCGGUGAAUACGUUCCCGGGCCUUGUACACACCGCCCGUCAAGCCAUGGGAGCCGGGGGUACCUGAAGUGCGUAACCGCGAGGAGCGCCCUAGGGUAAAACUGGUGACUGGGGC
rnacentral:rRNA from 1 species